GUGUUAUUAUUAAGUCAUAAUCAACCUGAGACUUGACAUUUCUACAUUCUUUUACACUAUCUUUGAAAAGUCUCAUGUUUAUUUUAGAAUUAGAUAUCUCUCCAAGAAAGACAUAACCUUGAAAAAUAUCUCUGACUAGAUUCUAUAGAAAUGCAGGCCAGAACCUGAUUACAUUAGAAAUAUUUAUAUUGACCAUUAUAUACUCUUAUUUUAAUGAGUACCUACAUUUCCAAAAUGCCUGCCUGGCUAUUAUAUUAUAUUUUAAAUCUAGUUGUCCUAGAUUUUUACUUUCAGAUAUAAAUCUUAUAGAGAUUUUUUUUAUGUAGUCUAUUAUAAGCCUAAUGCUUAUUAUGUAUAUCUGUGUUCAGGCAAGAGCCAGGAGUUAUGCCUGCCAACAUUAACUUAUUUUUCUCCCAAUGGGUCCACAUGGGUUUGUCAGGGGGUAGGGAGUGUGGAUCUCUUUGUCUGCUGCACACUAGCAGAGGGUGGAGGGGUGGAGGGUGGCCGACGUUGGAACUUGGUGCAUUGAUCCUAGUCUGGAACUAAGUGCAUAGCAGAAAUGUCUGCACUGUGCUCCUGUGUUCUCAUUUCUACAUUAGCAGUUAAUUAUGUCUCUUAUUUUAAGAAACCCUUUUUUGGCUUUGACUUACUUAGAUGGUAGGAGCACAAAACCUUAUGAAAUGAAAUUUUGAAAAAUAGAGACAUAUUAUUUUUCCCACAUAAUAAAAUGAAGUUCUCCCCACAGGUCUUGGUCAUUCUUUGAAUAAUUUAUUCUGGAAUUGACCUGUGUUUUUUUUUUUAAUCUUUCCCCUUAGUUAAUUGGUUUGAAUCUGAUUCCAUUUUUCCUUAUACCUGCCUUCAAAACACUGUUUAUGGGACAGCAAUACCAGCAGCCCUUACAGCAAUGGAUGUGUUAGAAAUUCUAGCCAUCUAUUGUUCCACUGAUAUGAGUGAUAACAUGCCUUGGUGGGAAGAAACUCAGACUGUGGAAGCUCCACAAUGCCUGUUCUACUCAAGAAUCCUCACUCCAGAAAUUAUGUACUUAUUGGCUAUAUCCAUGUACCUGGCCAUAAUGGAGCCAUUUCAUUGUUCAUCCAGAUUUGGGAAUUUAAGCUUUUAAGAUUUGGAAAUUUUAUGCUACCCACUUUGUUAGGUAGUGUGCUAAAGAAAAAACUUCUAGGGAAAUGGUAUGGGUUUGCUGUCUCAUUUUUCCCUCAACAGUAGGGACAUUCAUCACAUUCAGAUUGCUCUAAGCACUGAGCAAUUCCGCACAAGUGUUUUCUCUCGAUGCUCUUCAGAGAAAGGUUUACCUCAUUUGGCCACUGGAUUCUAGAAACUUUGGGGAGAAUUUUUCCUCACAGUCAGUGCUGAUCCUUUUCUCAAGUCGUAUGCACUCACUCCAUCACAGAGCGCGGCCAAGUAUAAGCGGCGGUUCAGACAAGAAGCCACUGCUUGGUUUGGGAGGCUUUGUCCUGAUCAGUAACAGUCUGAACAGCUGACAAUGAAAACAUGUUAAACUGCUCUGACACCUCUGUGCAAUCCACUAGGAGAGGGAAAAGUUCAAUCUUUUGAACUCUAUUUUGGUUUUAUAAUUUUGAGUGGAAUAUGAGAAUUAUGGGAUUUAGUGAGGAUAUUACAGAGUCGAUUUUAAUAUUGUCUGGCUUUCCAUUGCAUAGUAUGUUUGGGGAGCUAUAAGGAGAAUUGCUUAGGAAUUUUUUUCUUUAAAGAGACCAUUUGGUGCUCUAAUUUGGCAUAGAUGUUUUAGACACGUAAUGGUGUUGAUAUUUCAAAUGUCUGCUAUAAAAAGGUUGUUUUGAGUUUGAGAAUUCAAGAGAGGGAAACUGGGUAAGUUCAUUUUGUUUAUAAGGCAAUGCUUUGCUUAUCUUAGAGGAGUUUUUAUUAUUCCAGUGGCAAAACCUAUUUUGGGUGCAGUUUUGAUUUUCUAUUACUUCAGGUGUGGAGCCAGCUUGGGAACCCUUUGCUCUGUGUGUGAGCCCAGCCCUCAUUCCAUUCCAGCAUUAGCACGGGGGUCAGUAUCAGGGCUGCUGCUCCAAAGGAAGCACCAAGCAGGACUAAUUCCACUUGAUUCAUUUGAACCGAUUUCACUUUUAUCUUGUUAAAUAAAACAGCAAAAAAUGAUUCAGUCUUGCAAAUAAAUAGUCUUUUAAAAUAGUUAACAUUCCCAAUGAUUUCAUCUUAUUUUCUUGUCCCCCAUAAUAAUACUUAAAAAGAAAAAAAAAGUGAAUUUUUAAAAACACUGUCUGUUUCUUUUAGUUGUUGUAAAUGGUAAUUUUCUUUGGUAAUUGUGUCUGUAAUACCCUGUUGGGGAAGACAGCAUUGUAUGUUGAAUACCUACAGUUCUGCCGAUCAGUUUAAAUAUAUAACCUAAAUUUAACCCCCAUAGUACCUCUUCUAGAUACAUCACAUUACCCCUAUUUUGAGGUAAUAAAACUGAGUCGAAAGAUAAGUACCUUGUUCAAGAUUGCUCAGCUAGUACAUUCCAGAGCUGGGAUUCAAACUCUACUCUUUAGAAUUCCAUUAACUACAGAUCUCAUACUUUUUCCAUUAUGUCACACUGACUCUGUUUUUAUGCAAUAUUUAAACCAGAUAUUUAGAUUGAAAAACAUUAGGCAACUACUUUUACUUGUUAAAAUUUAAAGUAACCCUCUAUUUCUUAAGUGAAACAAAAAUUUGUGAAACAGUUUAAACUACCAAUAGACCAGAGAAAUACUGUAACAUCAAAAUGUUCAGUUUAAACCAUUAUUUAAUGCACUUUGGUUGGGUUAAGUUCCUUUGUUUCACUGAACAGUUUUGUGAAUGCUGGGGAAUAAAGAUGUGUUUUGUAGCAGCACAUUAAGCAGCCAUAGUAGUUGUUGUGACCCACAGGUGUCUAAGGAGACUGUUUUCUUGAUGACAUUUCUCUGUCGGUGCUAGAAAAUCUGAGAAAACGGGUAUUGAGAACACCAGAGUGCUUGGUACUAUUAUUCUUUCCUUCGGUAGAAGGAGCCAGUAGUCAGGAGAAACUCCACUCGUGGUAUUUUGGGGUUUUUGACUAAAUGUUUUGGAAAAAUAUAUGUGGGUAUGGUUUAUAUAUCCUGUUUAUAUAUGUGGGGAUACAAUAAUGACAAGUACUUAGAUUUGGGUUAUUUUUUUGUUGUAGUGAGGGAAGUUGGGGGAAGAAUGAAAAUACCAUUUAUCUAAAAAGUUUGGCUAUUUGCAAACAUUGUGAAAUAACAUAAAAAACUCAACUGCCCUAAAAAUAGCUAUUUCAUCUGUCUAUUGUUUGUUUAAACUCUCAUUUAUUUUUUUGGCAUUAAAAUACAAUAAAUCAA